rnacentral:rRNA from 1 species
AGUCGCCGGGCGCAGACGCGAAGCCGGGUGAGCUAUCCAUGGGCAGGCUGAAGCAGGGGUAAGACCCUGUGGAGGGCCGAACCCACUUCGGUUGAAAACGGAGGGGAUGACCCGUGGAUAGGGGUGAAAGGCCAAUCAAACCCGGAGAUAUCUCGUUCUCCCCGAAAUAGCUUUAGGGCUAGCCGCGGCCGUUAGCCGCCGCCGGUAGAGCACUGGACCGCCGAGGGGGCCUCGCAGCCUACCGAAGCGGACCAAACUCCGAACGGCGGCGGCCGAGAGGCCGCGAGUCAGAGCGCGUGGGCUAAGCUGCGCGCUCGAGAGGGAAACAGCCCAGACCGCCCGCUAAGGCCCCAAAGUCCAUGCUGAGUGGCAAAGGAUGUGCGUCUGCCCAGACAACCAGGAUGUUGGCUUAGAAGCAGCCAUGCAUUCAAAGAGUGCGUAACAGCUCACUGGUCGAGUGGACAUGCGCCGACAAUACACGGGGCUAAGCAUGGCGCCGAAGCGGCGGACUAAUACAAAUUAGUGGUAGGGGAGCUUCCCCGGGGGGGCGAAGCCGGAGGGCGACCUCCGGUGGACCGCCGGGGAGUGAGAAUGCUGGCACGAGUAGCGAGAGCGGGGCGAGAAACCCCGCCGCCGCAAGCCCAAGGUUUCCUGGGCGAUGCUAAUCAUCCCAGGGUCAGCCGGGAGCUAAGGCGAGGCCGAGAGGCGCAGCCGAUGCGCAGCUGGCAGA